rnacentral:rRNA from 1 species
GAUUAACGCGAAGAACCUUACCAAGGCUUGACAUGUAAGGUAGCAAUACUAAACUAGGGAAACCUAGUUGAAUUACACAGGUGCUGCAUGGCCGUCGUCAGUUCGUGCCGUGAGGUGUAUGGUUAAGUCCUAUAACGAACGUAACCCUUGGGCUUAGUUGCCAGCAUUAAGUUGGGGACUCUAGGCCGACUGCAGAUAUGUUUUGCAUAUCUUACUGAGUAAUCAGGAGGAAGGAAAGGAUGACGUCUGGUCGUCAUGGCCCUUAUGUCUUGGGCGACACACGUGCUACAAUGGUUAGUACAAAGCGUUGCCAACCCGCGAGGGGGAGCUAAUCGCAAAAAACUAACCUCAGUUCGGAUUGGAGGCUGCAACUCGCCUCCAUGAAUGUCGGAAUUGCUAGUAAUCGCAAAUCAGCCAUGUUGCGGUGAAUACGUUCCCGGGCCUUGUACACACCGAAUC